rnacentral:rRNA from 1 species
AGAGUUUGAUCCUGGCUCAGGACGAACGCUGGCGGCGUGCCUAAUACAUGCAAGUCGAACGCACUCUCGUUUAGAUUGAAGGAGCUUGCUCCUGAUUGAUAAACAUUUGAGUGAGUGGCGGACGGGUGAGUAACACGUGGGUAACCUGCCCUAAAGUGGGGGAUAACAUUUGGAAACAGAUGCUAAUACCGCAUAAAACCUAACACCGCAUGGUGUAGGGUUGAAAGAUGGUUUCGGCUAUCACUUUAGGAUGGACCCGCGGUGCAUUAGUUAGUUGGUGAGGUAAAGGCUCACCAAGACCGUGAUGCAUAGCCGACCUGAGAGGGUAAUCGGCCACACUGGGACUGAGACACGGCCCAGACUCCUACGGGAGGCAGCAGUAGGGAAUCUUCCACAAUGGACGAAAGUCUGAUGGAGCAACGCCGCGUGAGUGAAGAAGGUUUUCGGAUCGUAAAACUCUGUUGUUGGAGAAGAAUGUAUCUGAUAGUAACUGAUCAGGUAGUGACGGUAUCCAACCAGAAAGCCACGGCUAACUACGUGCCAGCAGCCGCGGUAAUACGUAGGUGGCAAGCGUUGUCCGGAUUUAUUGGGCGUAAAGCGAGCGCAGGCGGUUUCUUAAGUCUGAUGUGAAAGCCUUCGGCUCAACCGAAGAAGUGCAUCGGAAACUGGGAAACUUGAGUGCAGAAGAGGACAGUGGAACUCCAUGUGUAGCGGUGAAAUGCGUAGAUAUAUGGAAGAACACCAGUGGCGAAGGCGGCUGUCUGGUCUGUAACUGACGCUGAGGCUCGAAAGCAUGGGUAGCAAACAGGAUUAGUUACCCUGGUAGUCCAUGCCGUAAACGAUGAGUGCUAGGUGUUGGAGGGUUUCCGCCCUUCAGUGCCGCAGCUAACGCAUUAAGCACUCCGCCUGGGGAGUACGACCGCAAGGUUGAAACUCAAAGGAAUUGACGGGGACCCGCACAAGUAGCGGAGCAUGUGGUUUAAUUCGAAGCAACGCGAAGAACCUUACCUAAGCUUGACAUCCCACUGACCUCUCCCUAAUCGGAGAUUUCCCUUCGGGGACAGUGGUGACAGGUGGUGCAUGGUUGUCGUCAGCUCGUGUCGUGAGAUGUUGGGUUAAGUCCCGCAACGAGCGCAACCCUUGCCUUUAGUUGCCAGCAUCAAGUUGGGCACUCUAGAGGGACUGCCGAGGAUAACUCGGAGGAAGGUGGGGAUGACGUCAAAUCAUCAUGCCCCUUAUGCUUAGGGCUACACACGUGCUACAAUGGGUGGUACAGAGGGUUGCCAAGCCGCGAGGUGGAGCUAAUCCCUUAAAGCCAUUCUCAGUUCGGAUUGUAGGCUGAAACUCGCCUACAUGAAGCUGGAGUUACUAGUAAUCGCAGAUCAGAAUGCUGCGGUGAAUGCGUUCCCGGGUCUUGCACUCACCGCCCGUCA